AUGGCAUUAAAACUCUUUGUGGGUGCCCUUGGGCUGCCUGGUGUGUAGCUGAUUGAUUUCCUUCCCCUCUUGAGUGGGUAGACACGGAAAGAGUCACAUUGGAGGUUUCGAUAUGGAUGAGUCACAUCUGCUCUAACCUGAAUGGUUCAGCGUGUUUCCUAAGCAUUAUGUUUACAGAAUUCACUUGGCUAUACAUAUGAGAACAAAUUUAGGGCACCAAUUUAACUUGGCUUUCCCCUAAGGCAAGCUAAUUCAUAGAAUCUGAAAUAUUGUUUUGGCCGUGAAGUAAUGUUUCCUCUGACUUAAUAAGUAAAAUGGAAGACAAAAAAUAUAAUGAACCUCAAAUCCCCAGCAGCUAAAAAGUUAACACCUUGGUGGAGAAGAGGCAAAAUAAGAAAGAAUUGACGGUUCCGGCAGGCUAAAGGUCUCCAACCUGUGCAACCUCUUUCUUAAAGCUGUAACACUUCUCUUUCAAGUUAUUCAACCUUUCACCCAAUAGGUCCCUUUCUCUGACCCUUGACCUGUAGUUAUUUGUUUAGCAUCGUGGUAAUAGAGUUUGGAAAUCUGAAAAACAUUAAGUUAAAUGCAAGGGUGUUGAGAAGGUGAAAUUCUGUAAGUGAGCUGAAGAAAUUCUAUCUGGAAGAUUUAAACACUUUUUUUUCCUCACGAGAGUAAGGGAUAAGAAAAAUGUUGUGGGUUUUUGGAAACAUUAUCAAAGUUUUGGUUCUUUUUUAAGUAAAGGAAAAGAGAGAAUGUUACUGAUGUCAUGUGUAUGUGAAGCGUGAAGGCAAGUAAAGCAAUGUUCUUGCUGGGAGCCCAAUAAAGUCGUGUUCCUUCAGCCCUUUCUUAGACAAGAGCAUCAUCGAAAUCGAAAGAAAUAUUGAGGUGAGAAUUUCUGAUUGUGGGCUAUGUUUUCCUUGAAAGUGGCAAUGAUUUUUUAUUAAUAAAGGUAAUUAUCAAG